rnacentral:lncRNA from 10 species
UGUGGCUUUUCCAGGCACACAGUGGAAGUUGUCAGUGUAUCUACCAUUCUUGGUCUGGAGAAUGGUGACCCUCUCCUCACAGCUCCAUUAAUCAGUGCCCCAGUGGGGAUUCAGCAUGGGGUCUCCAAGUCUACAUUUCUCUUCUGCACUGCCCUAGCCAAGAUGCUCCAUGAGGGCCCUUCACCCGCAGCAAACUUCUGCCUGGACAAGGAAGUUUAUCUACUUUGUGAUGAUGAGUAAUUACAUCUCCAUAACACAAGGCACACCCCUGGUAUACAUCCUCAAGAACUGGUAAAAUUUAAAACCUUAAAAGGAAAAGGCAAAUAUUUUUUGUAACAGCCUGUGUUCAACGCAAGCUCUGGGACCAGGAAUCUUAGUUUGGAGAAUGGAAGCAUAAAUUUUAAUAUGAUCCAUUGCUAUGGUUUUGCUGUGUCUCCACCUAAAUCUCACCUUGAAUUGUAAUAAUCUCCACAUGUCAAGGCUUGGGCCAGGUGGAGAUAAUUGAAACAUAGGGGCAGUUUCCCCCACACUCUUCUCAUGGUACUGAAUAAGUCUCACAAGAUCUGAGUUCCCCUGAACAAGCUCUCUUGUCUGCUGCCAUCUAAGAUGUGACUUUGUUCCUCAUUCACCUUCUGCCAUGAUUGUAAGGCCUCCCCAGGAAUGUGAAACUGUGAGUAAAUUAAACCUCUUUUCUUUAUAAAUUACCCAGGCUUUAUUAGCAUCAUGAGAACAGACUAAUACAGUACACUGGUACUGGGCAUGGGGAACUGUUAUAAAGGUACCCAAAAAUGUAGAAACAACUUUGGAACUGGGUGACAGGCAGAGGGUGGAACAGUUUGGAGGGCUCAGAAGACAGGAAAAUGUGAUAAAGUUUGGAACUUCCUAGUGACUUGUGGUAGGCUUUGACCAAAAUCUUGAUAGUGAUAUAGACAAUAAAAUCCAGGCUGAGGUGGUCUCAGAUGGAAAUAAAGAAUAUUGGGAACUGAAAUAAAGGUCACUCUUGGUAUGCAGAGACUGGAGGCAUUUUUUCCCUGCCCUAGAGAUCUCUGGAACUUUGAAUUUGAGAGAAGUAAUUUAGGGCACUGGUGGAAGAAAUUUCUAAGCUGCAAUGUGUUCAAGAGGAAGAGAGCAUAUAAGUUUGAAAAAUUUGCAGCCUGACAAUGCAGUCAAAAAGAAAAGCCAAUUUUCUUGGGAGAAAUUCAGGCCAGCAAUAGAAAUUUGCAUAAGUAAUG